rnacentral:rRNA from 1 species
GACGAACGCUGGCGGCGUGCUUAACACAUGCGAGUCAAACGCUGAAGCUCAGCUUUUGUUGGGUGGAUGAGUGGCGAACGGGUGAGUAACACGUGAGUAACCUGCCCCCUUCUUUGGGAUAACGCCCGGAAACGGGUGCUAAUACUGGAUAUUCACUGGUCUUCGCAUGGGGGUUGGUGGAAAGGGUUUUUCUGGUGGGGGAUGGGCUCGCGGCCUAUCAGCUUGUUGGUGGGGUGAUGGCCUACCAAGGCUUUGACGGGUAGCCGGCCUGAGAGGGUGACCGGUCACAUUGGGACUGAGAUACGGCCCAGACUCCUACGGGAGGCAGCAGUGGGGAAUAUUGCACAAUGGGCGCAAGCCUGAUGCAGCGACGCCGCGUGAGGGAUGGAGGCCUUCGGGUUGUGAACCUCUUUCGCUCAUGGUCAAGCCGCAACAAUGGUUGUGGUGAGGGUAGUGGGUAAAGAAGCGCCGGCUAACUACGUG